AGUUUCCUUCCGGCUUUCUUGCUGGUGUCGGCUCCGAGAGAUCUGGCUUAUCUGGACUUUGCGGUUCUCCAAAAGAGAUCUUGAAAAGGACUGACCAGUUCUUGCAUUUUGAAACCAUGGCCCAUACCCUGCUUGUUCACUCCAUUCCUGAGUGCAACCCCUGUGUGGCCCUGCAUGACGUGUGGUGUCCUCCUCCCCCGGGCUGGUUCAGUGACAUUCAGAGAUGUGGCCAUAGACUUCUCACAGGAAGAAUGGGAAUUUCUGGACUCGGCUCAGAGAGACUUAUACAGGGAUGUGAUGUGGGAGAAUUAUAGUAAUUUCAUCUCACUAGAACCUUCCAUUUCUAAGCCAGAUGUGAUUACCUUAUUGGAUGAAGGGAAGGAGCCCUGGAUGGUUGUAAGGGAAGGGACCAGAAGACACUGCCCUGAUUUGGAGUCCAGAUACAGGACCAAUAUUUUAUCUCCAGAAAAGGACAUUUAUGAAAUAUAUUCAUUCCAGUGGGAGAUAAUGGAAAGAAUUAAAAGUUAUAGUCUUCAGGACUCCCUUUUCAGAAAUGAUUGGGAAUGCAAAAGCAAGAUUGAGGAGCAUAAGGAACCACAAGAAGGAUAUUUUGGGCAAGUGAAAAUAACUUCUGAAAAAAUGACCACUUACAAAAAGCAUAAUUUUCUUGCUGAAUAUCAGAGAAUUCAUAAUGGAGAAAAGCUGUAUGAAUGUAAGGAAUGUAGGAAGACCUUUAUUCGUCGCUCAACACUUAGUCAACACCUGAGAAUUCAUACUGGUGAGAAACCUUAUAAAUGUAAGGAAUGUGGGCAGGCAUUUAGACAGCGUGCACACCUUAUUCGACAUCACAAACUUCAUACUGGUGAGAAGCCCUAUGAAUGUAAGGAAUGUGGGAAAGCCUUUACAGUGCUCCAAGAACUUACUCAACAUCAGAGACUUCACACUGGUGAAAAGCCCUAUGAAUGUAAGGAGUGUGGAAAAGCCUUCAGAGUGCAUCAGCAACUUGCUCGACAUCAGAGAAUUCACACUGGUGAGAAACCCUAUGAGUGUAAGGCAUGUGGGAAGACCUUUAGGCAGUGUACACACCUUACUCGACAUCAAAGACUUCAUACUGCUGAGAAACUCUAUGAAUGUAAGGAAUGUGGGAAAGCCUUUGUAUGUGGUCCAGACCUUAGAGUACAUCAGAAAAUUCAUUUUGGUGAAAAACCUUAUGAAUGUAAGGAAUGUGGAAAGGCUUUUAGAAUAUGCCAACAACUUACUGUCCAUCAGAGUAUUCAUACUGGUGAGAAACCCUAUGAAUGUAAGGAGUGUGGAAAGACUUUUAGACUAAGGCAGCAACUUGUUCGCCAUCAGAGAAUCCAUACUCGUGAGAAACCCUAUGAAUGUAUGGAAUGCUGGAAGACCUUUAGUAGUUACUCACAACUUAUUUCACAUCAGAGCAUUCAUAUUGGUGAGAGACCAUAUGAAUGUGAAGAAUGUGGGAAGGCCUUUAGAUUGCUCUCACAGCUUACCCAACAUCAGAGUAUUCAUACUGGUGAGAAACCUUAUGAAUGCAAGGAAUGUAGAAAACCUUUUAGACUGCUCUCACAACUUACUCAGCAUCAGAGUAUUCAUACUGGUGAGAAACCUUAUGAAUGUAAGGAAUGUGGUAAGGCUUUUAGACUUUAUUCAUUCCUUACUCAACAUCAGAGAAUUCAUACUGGGGAGAAACCCUACAAAUGUAAGGAAUGUAAGAAGGCCUUUAGGCAACAUUCACACCUUACUCAACAUCAGAAAAUUCAUAAUGGAGUUUAAAACAAGAAGGCUUCAAUUGUACAUUAUGUUACAGAAUAUCAGGAAAUUCAUUUUUGAGAAAUUUGUUUCAUGCUUUAAGCAAAGAAAUUUUAUAUUAUUGGAAAGAAAUAUUAUUGCUUUAAAAACCUUUCAUCACCAUUCAGACAUUGUUUAUCUUCGACAAAUUCAUUUGAGGGAGUAAUAUAAUGAAUGUAGGGAAAACUUUAGCCUUAUCUAUCAUUAUCCCCAUUUCACUACUUUAUUACCAGUGUGUUAUUGGACAAGGUACUUAAACUUCUGUGCCUCAUUUUGCUCACUUGUAAAAUGGUGAUAAUAGUACUUAUGUAUAUUAGUUAUUUAUUGGUGUGUAAUAAAUUACCACAAGCUUAGUAGCUUAAAAUAAUACUUAUCUCACAAUUUCUAUGGGUCAGGUGUCUGGACAUAAUUUAGUUGGGUCCUCUCCUUUAGGGUCUUUCAUAAAGCUAAACUAAAGGUUUAAGCCAGGGUUGGGUCUCAUCUGAAGGUUUAACAGGGAAAGGGAUCAACUUUCAACCUCACAUGGUUGUCAGCUGAUGCACUGAGGUCUUCAGUUUCUAGCUGGCUGUUGGUUGAAAGCUGACCUUCGUUCCAUGCCACAUAGGCUUCUUCAAAUGGCUACUUAUUAAGUGUGCAAGCCAAGAAUGUGGUAGAGCCUGCUAGCAUCACAGAAGCUAUAAUCUUAUGUGAUCUAAUCACCAAAAUAACACUUUUGCUGUCUUCUACUGGUUAGAACCAAGUUACUAGGCUACCCCACACUCAAGGGUAGAGAUUAUAGAGGAUUACACAAGAUGAAUACCACAAUGUAGAACCAUUUCAGAGUCAGCCUGCCACACUAUGUGACAGGAUUGUCUUGAGGAUUAAGUAGUUAAUGCUUGGAAAAAUAGCAGCCACAUAGCAUGUUUUCUAUAAAUAUUAUCUACAGUUGUUGUCAUUAGUGUUAGUGAAUUCAUAUGAAAGAAUAUACUAUAGAAGUAGUAAAUAUAGAAAUGUCUCACGUCACUGCUCAGCACUUAAUUAAACUUAAGAUAAUUUAUUCCAGAAAAAAUCUAGGAGAUUGUAUUGAAUGUGAGAAGUUCUUCAUCAUUUGAGCUGCAUCAGUAAUUUCAUGCUGAAAAGCAACCUUGUGAAUUUCAUGAAGGUGAAGUUACGAGUACAACUGUUGAAGAGUCAGAAAAAUGGAAUUAGUUUCCCAUAGUAAAUUCUAAAAAGUAAAUGUUUUGCAAUCCCUGUUGCCUGACCACUGUUAAAGACAAAUUAGAAACUAUUAAGAUGGCAGAAAGGGGAAAGUAACCAGUUGGAAGUUUAAUAUCGUGUGUGUGUGCGCACGCGUGUAUGUGUGUGUAUAUAAAACUCUUGUAUAAAAGAAAAAACAUUGCUUUAUAGUCAGUAUACUGUUUGAUGUUCAAAUUGCCCCAUCUUCAACCAGUGGGAGUUGGGUCUUUUGACAUGAUCCCCCUACUAGUUUGAUAGUUUAACUUGGUCACAGCUACACAGUUUGGUCAGCAAUGGAAGAUGCUUGGGCACCAACUCAUCCUGAAAAUUGAUAAGAAGAAAAAUGAGCACUUAUUUUGCUUUUUCCAUGUGAACCACAUUUCAGAGCCACCAAAAGCUCAUCAAAUUAAGUCUUUUUUUAAAGAAAUAUUGCCAAUAAACACAGAAAGAAUGCUAGGAUUAGAAAAUCACCAUUUUCUAGUUCCCUAGUGGAAUAACGGGUCCAGAAAAUGAUCUUCAGUGGAUACUAAAACUACUGAGUGAAAUAUUUUGUAGCGAGAACUUUACAGUGGAUUUAUCAAGCUGACCACCUCUGAGCCCUUUGAUCAAUUUUAAACCUCUAUAAAAGUGGGACUAUCAGACAAUAUCCAUCUCCUGAUAAAAUGCAGUAGGAAGUACAUACCACCACCUACAAAGCCUUACUGCCAAAAAAUGAACUGAAGAAAGCAAACCUUUAAAUCAAAUUCUUUAAAACAAGAAUUUUGGGACUAGUUGAACAAAGUAAAUGGCACCACAGGGAAGCAGCCAAGCAGACCUAGAAUGUGUAAAAUUCUACAAAACAAAUGACCUGAUUUCUUCAACUAAUGAGCGGUAUGAAAAAGAAAAGGGAAGGGCAACUGUUAAUAGAUUAAAAGAAACCUAAGAGACCUAUCAACUAAAUUCAGUACGUGGGCAUUACUUGGACCUAGUUCGAACAAAAUGUAAAAAGACAUUUUGGAGACACUGGGGGAAAUGUGGACACACACUGAGUAUUAAGCGAUAUUUAGAAAUACUCAUUUUGUUAGGGAUAAUAUCAGUGUGGUUAUUUAAAAAUAAACGGUUCUAUGUGUUAGAGAUACAUACUUACAUAUUUAUGAAAUGGUAAGAUACCACAUUUCCAUUAGAAGACUCCAGCAAAAGAAAAAGAAUUGGCACAGAGAGUUGGGAAGUAGAUUAGUAAAAUGUUAAUUACUGACAUGUAGUGGUUUGCUUGGGGAGGGGGGGCUCAUUGUUCUAAUAUUUUCUAUUUUUUAAUGUACUUGAAAGUUUCAGUAAUAAAAUGUUUAAAAACAAACCUGGAGUGUAUAGACUUAGAAAUAAUUGCUAAUAUGUGCAUCUAAACUUGUGAGAUGUCACCAGAAUUCUGUUCAGUGAGAAAUUAAUGCCCUUUAGUGCAUUAAGGAAAUUUCAUUUGUGGGUCCAGUCUUCAUCAUCUUCACCUUAUCCUCAGCAGUCAACACAGGGCGUGUCACAUAAAUAAAUGUGUUAAGGGAAUGAGUAAGUAUUUAUGUCAAGAAACCAGAAACAGAACAAAAUAAAACCUAUACAUGAGAAACAGAGCACAACUAAAAAUAGAAGUUAAGGACUAAAUAGUAGAAGAAUUAAUCCAGUGUUAACAAUGACUAGAUUUUGGAAGAUCUAAUCAAGAAAAAGAAAAUGAAAGAUACACAUUUAGAAUAUUGGCAAAGGUGGCAUAGCUACAGACUAUCAAAAUUUUGUUUUAAUUAUAAGGUAAUACUAUAUUAUAUGUGCUAUAUGUAUUCUAGUACAUAAAAUAUAAAGGGGUUACUUAUUUUUUCUAUAGGAUUCCAUUAUGACAGUUGACUCAAAUAGACCAACAAACGAAUGUGUGUGUAUAUGAACUACCUGCUUAAGAAAAAAAAUCUGAUGGUUGUACAGGUGAAAGCUUUAAGGAAUAGAUAAUCCUUCACAAAAUUCUGCCAAUUAAUUCUGCACAGUUAAAAUAAUCCUGAUACAAAUCUAGAUGAAGAUCGCUCCUAAAAAGCAAAAUCUAGACCACUUUCAUUUAUGAAGAUCCUAUUAAUCAUAAUUCUAAAUAAGGUAUAUUUAGAAUUUAUUACAAAAUCUUUCUUGACUCAUAAGUCCAUGUGUUGCCUUUCCCAAGUAUCAGAUAUCUCCAGAAGACCAGUGUUUAACAGAGCGUAAAGCCUUAACCCAACAUUGUCCAUAAGCUUGUUUUGGGAAAUACUAGUCCUUGGUAUUUGGGGGAAAAUGGUAUCUCUGAAAAAUGUGUGAACACAGUAAAGCAUAAAAAAUCUACCUUUGGGGAAAUCCAAGUACACAGUAUCAGUUUGUCAAAAGAUAUAGUAAAGAGAUUUUUUUUAUUUAACACAGGUUACCCCAGAUUUACUUCAUUGUGAAAUUCUCAUUCCCAGUAUCUUGUACCGUCUUUACAACGUGAACCACUUUGGUAGAUGCUUCCAUUACCACAAUGAAUGUCUCAAGGGCAUCGUUUCAGACAUUAUGUUUUCUAGGGACAGCAAGUUGGAAGAGAACGAGGACCAGAAAGGCAGAAGCCAUGUCUUCUUUCCUCAUCUGGCAUCUCACGCGCCCUGCAACAUGCCUGAGCUGAAGGAGGGAAGACCCCAUCCAUAAACAACGCUUACAGUUUUGAUUUAUAUGGUGGACUCAGUCAGGGUAUGGUCUAUCCAUGAUUCCAUCCAGGGUCAGCAAAUGUACUUGUUCCACCAGAUUCAGUGGGAUCAUGUCAGACAAGAAUGAAUCCGUCAUCUCGUCCCAAAUUGUGAUUUCUCAUCACAAUCCACAUACUUCACCUGGACUCCACUGCAGGUGGGAGUUGGCAUGCAAUCUAGGUUCCAGCAGGUACUAGCUGAACUUGGAGGCGGAGGAAGUGAGCAUAAUGGAGUGGUGGUGGCAUAUGGAAGGAUAGGAUUCGCAGUGGCAGGAGUGACUGGUUCCCCUAUGGCAGCUGUUGGAAGUUUCCAGCUCCCAGUCCUUAGAACAUUAGGGGAGAAGCAUAAAGUAGCAAUAGAUUUUCUUUAACAGUACUACAUCCAAGUACUAUUCAAGAAACUGUGUAUCUGAGCCUUUAUAUUUGUUGUAUAUCUGGACCUUUAUCCUUACUUUUUUUCUGGAUUGUACAGCCCUUAAGUCUAAUUCCUUGGUGUUCUGAGAAUUUUUCAAAUGACAAAAUAUUCUUUAGUAAAUUCCUUGCUAAAAUAUAUAGAAAUGAUUUUUCUUAUCUGCAAUUGUUUUCUAUUUCACCAAUAAAGAGACUUCAAUGAAUAAACUGUAUAAAAAACACAACACAGCACAUUAAAAUUAGGU